UACGUAGGGGGCAAGCGUUGUCCGGAAUCAUUGGGCGUAAAGAGCGUGUAGGCGGCUUGGUAAGUCCGCUGUGAAAGUCCAGGGCUCAACCCUGGAAAGCCGGUGGAAACUGUCAAGCUUGAGUCCGGAAGAGGCGAGUGGAAUUCCUGGUGUAGCGGUGAAAUGCGCAGAUAUCAGGAGGAACACCAAUGGCGAAGGCAGCUCGCUGGGACGGUACUGACGCUGAGGCGCGAAAGCGUGGGGAGCAAACAGG
rnacentral:rRNA from 1 species